rnacentral:ribozyme from 1 species
AAAGAAAGGUGGAAGAUGUUCCCUCUUUUUCUCUUUCUGUCCCUUUUGCUUCUUUAUUCUUUGGUUUCUUCAAACUCAAAUGUGUGGCAUGUUGACAAAAAAAGAAAGAA